CUGUGGGGCUGGGUGGGAUCCACCCGAGGAUCCCGAAGGAGCUGGAGGAAGGCCUCACUGAGCCCUUCAUCCCUUUACCAGCUGUCCUGGCAACCCAGGAAGGCCCCAGGUGACUGGAAUUUGGCAAACAAAUUACCCACCAACAAGAGGCCCAAAAGAAGGAUCUGGGGAAGUAGUUGUGCUUGUGCAAUGGCAAAAGAAAUGCCCUUGGCCAGGACACAGCAGAUUUAUGCAGGUGUUUGUGCUCAGCAGAGAGAGAGACACACCAGACACACGCAGCUGUUCUAUCUGCAAUCCCUCACACCGGAGUCUGGCACCUCUUGUGAUUUCCCUUUCUUGUUUUUUGGCCUCCGUGUCCCUCAAGUGGGUAAUUACAGGAUGGUUUUCAGGGUAGCUCAUCUCCCUUUCAGAGAAGCACACAGAAGAAAAUACAGACUCGAGGAUUACACAUCCAGAAUGUAAAAUGCCAAAUUUCGGCCCAAUACAUGGCAUAUGCAACCCAUAAAAUUAACACAGAAUUACAGCACUAAAGCUGAUUAUGAGUAGUGCUAACUGCAAGCACAGAAGGAAGACGUGUAGAAGACACAGUUACAUCCUUUGCCAAGAAACAUUUCCCUCCUACUAUACAAACUUCAGAAAAAGAUAGGCACUGAAAUGUCAUUAUUUUAUUGGUUUUAUUCAUACCAAAUUAUUAAAAUUUGCUAGAAUUUCCCCGUACAAGCAGGAAUUUUCUGAGGAGGUACUUUGAAUGGUUUCAAAAAACUCUCAGCAACAACAUGUCUUUCAUUAAAAAAUUAAAUUUAAAGGUUAUUAGGCAACUCCACAGAAGAGGCAGGACAUUCUGCUGAAGUCCAUCCUGAAAAUGUGUGUCAACACUGACUGGAAGGAUCUGUCUCACAGAAUAGUGUUUAUUCAGCUCUUCUUUCACUUCCAGAUGAGUUCAUCCAGCACCAAGAAGAAGGGUGGGUUUGGUCACAGCCAAUGAGCAGAAAGAUUAAUUUCUGGGGAAAUCUGAACUCUCAGUUCUCAAAACUAAGAGGAAUCUGCAAUCUUACAUUUCUGUGGGCUUUAUUAAGCUUUUUUUUUUUAGAUGUGGAUUCAAACCCAAUUUGUCUGUUUUGCCACGACUCAGAAGUCAAACUGUGAAGAAAAUAUUUUCCCUAUUCAAUUAAGGGAAUGGGAGCAAUACUUUGGUGUUAGACAGUUCUGCAGAUCUUGGGGAAAAAAAAAUCUCUCAUGACCUCUGCUGUCUUUAAAUGAAAUAAAAUAAUGAAAACGUGGAGCUACCUUAUCAUCCCACAUGAACUGCUGUUUAAACACUGAUUUAAACACUGAUUUAAACUAGCAAAGGACUCUGAGUUUGACUAAAACCAGUCAUGUUUCAUUCAACAAAAGAGUGAAAUGUGGGCUUCCUUAGGAAGAAAACAGAGAGCAAAUUGUAUACAGGGAAUAUAAACAGCCUGCAGUGAGAGGAAACUAAGAUUAGCUGAGUAAAUUAAACAGGUAAUUAAAAAAUGCACCAGAGGUCUUCUGUGGGCAAAAUUAUAAAUCUUUCUCUUUCAUAGCAGGAGAAACUUCACUACAAGAAAUCACUCCAAGAAGAGGCAGCACUCCUUCUACUUCCUUUUUCUAAAAAUGUGCAUUCAAACCCCUGACUUUAUGCAAUUAAUGUGUGGACUUUUCCAAUACUGCUCCAUGUGCAUUAGAUAAUGGGAUAAAUCUUACAACGCUUAUUUUAUUACAAUUACAACUUUCUAAAUAUUGGGAUGUUCACUUCUGCAAAUACGCUGAGAACCACAGACCAAAAGAACCAGGUUACAGUGCAAUUACUGAUUACAGCAACUCUCAUUAUAUUAAAAAUAUUCUCCUGCCCUUUCCUUUCCAGAUACAGGUUUUUUGAUUUUUAGUUUUAAUGUAUUUUAUCAAAAUAACUAAUUUCAGUAUCUGCCUUGCAUGUGUAAUUCUGUUUAGCAAGAAACAUUACCCUCCUAUUGUACAAACUUGAAAACAUAUAUGCACUGAUUGUUUUAUUCACUCCAGAUUAAUAGAGCAUUAUUAUCCAAGAGCAACAUCUCAGAUCCACUACAAUUAAUAAUAUAAUUAAUUAUAGCAAGAAUAUUAGUAAAAAUAUGUGUAAUAUCUAAUAUACUACAUAUUGCAUAUUAUAUAUUAUAUUAUUAGUGUUAUUAUAUAAGUGGUCUGCCUGGGAAUCAUUUCUAAUCCUGCUGCUGUGCCAAAUACUGUUUUUCACCUCUUGCUGGAGGUGAAUGGCACAGCUAUUCAGAAUCCCACUACUGGCCAAAACAGCCACACAAAACUGCACUUUUCCAAGAACCUGCAGAACAAUUAGCACUUUGCAACGGCAGCUCCUGCAAAUGUAAGGAUUAUAUAAUGAAAAUUGUCCCUGGGUGCUGUGCAUUCAAUGUGUUAUUGUAAAAGUAGAGAAAGCGGAUGAUACUUGAGGAAAAAAUAAAUUAGAGUCCUUCUCACAGCGGUGAACUCAACUGCAAGGCAUGAAAACACAAAUAUUCAAGCUAAGGCAAGUGAAAACUUUCAAAACUCAGAGAACUCUUGAUGGAAUACAACACUAAGCUGAGAGAGAUACUUGACCGAGUGAAUCAAUGCAUCAUUCACAACAAAACUACAGCAGGACCUAAUUUUUAGUUUGAUCUUUAUCAAAGGCAGGCACUGACCUGACAACAAAGAUUAAAACAAGUUGGAAAGUUUUGACGUGCAAUUUCCAAUACCAGAUUUUUUAUGUAAAAAAUCACAUUCACUCGUGCCACGGAGAAUCCUUUAACGGGAAACAUGUUUUUGUGCUCAACACCAAAAAACCCCAGGCAUAACACAGAAUUCCAUAUGACUUUCUCUUAAAACAGCCAACAUAAUCUUGGAAAACCAACUUACCUGCUUUCUCCUUUACCUCUAUGAGGUACUUCCCUGUUUUACAGAGGAGGUCACAGCUACAUUUGCUCACACAUGUAGAAUACCAAGACAGUUGGAAAUAAUUUUCUCAACAUUACAUAUUUUAUUUUUUCCUGUAAUCUUAAAGCUACAUCUUCUUUUUAUCCUGUACAUGAAAAAAAACAAAACAACUGUGUUAGCUCAGAAGCAGCUGUUGAGUGUUUUUGGACCUGUUAUUCCUCUGUGUAUUCCCAAUUUAGCUGACAGGCCAUAGUCUGGCUACUUUGCAGAAUCAGCUGGCUGGAGUAUCCAAAGCUUUGACAGAAUUCUGCACAAUGAGAUGAUAAAUCAAACCAAUUGGCCCUUUUUUCUUUUAGGAACUUGAAAUCCAUUCACCAUUAGUUGUAUAACUUUUUUCCUGAAUUAUGUAAAUAUAGAUGGAUCAAAGCCAUAAAGUCAAAGGCAAAUGACUCCAAGAUUCAGGAUUUCAAAUUAUGAUUCUUGAUAGGUUACAAACCGAAAUGUUGAAGUUAAAAUCCACAUCAGAAAAUUAAUCAAGUUUGAAGUUAUUUUACUCUUGCUUUUAAGUCUGCUAACUUUUCAAGGGAUACAAAAUGUUCUCAUUUACUACUUGUUCCUGUGUCUGCUAACAGUAGGAAAUUAACAGAAGCUAUUUAAAAA